CGAAAGGCCAUCGAUAUAUAGUUUACCGGGAAAGAUUGAAGUUAUCGGUCGUUGCUGAACGGGACGAGACAAAGAGUGGCGCACGCUCGGAUCCAGGAACAAUUACAGACCUUCCACGACCACGACGAGAGAUCCAGCUCUGACUUUCCUGGCCCAUCACAAUAACGACCUAACAGCCCAGUAGGACCGAUGGCCAGAGAUGGAGGAGGAGGGAGACAGACGCAGCAGAGGUCGGGGACCUUGAUUAGGAAGACUGGAACAGAACUGACGCCCUGCUAACUAUGCCCUCGCUCACGCUCAACAGCCUGGUGGGAUGGAUGAUCUUGUUUUUACACAAGAUGUGCAGAAAUGGCUGCGCUAUGCGCCGGUGUGGCAGAUUUUGUGAUAUGCACCGGAGUUCUCAUCCGCCCUGUAUCUGCUUGUAGACCGAGUAAAGUUAAG